rnacentral:lncRNA from 1 species
GUCGCCGGAAAUGCCGCGAAUCUCGUCGCCGACUUUCGUGAUGGCGCGCGCGCUGUACGCGCCUCUUGCCCAGUUGUUCCCGCCUUGAGUACGUUUGAGGUAGCCCUGUUUGCCGUCCGUCGUCAUGCCCUGCGAAAGUCCGACCCACUCGAUGAGAUCCAAGUCGUUCGCACCCUCGUGGACAGUCUGUAUCCAGGAGACUCGAGAGAAAGACGCGCCUGCAGUGUUGAAGCGCGCGGUGGCGUAGAGCGGGAAGGCAGGCGCCUCAUCAGACGUCGCAAACGCCGCGCCAUCCUUGUAGUACGUGACGACGCCCGAGUCGAGCACGACCACUUGGAACGUCUCACCGACGAAGUAAUCGCCAAAGUCGCCGUCGCGCACGACGCCGUGUUCGGAGAUGCGGAUCACGCCGUUGUCGCACACAAUGCCGAAGUCGACCACCUCGUCGACGGAGUUCGUCGAGCCAGAGUUCAAGCCAAUCAUCAUGGACUUGUCCGUUUGGUCGCAAUCCGCGGAGACGCCACGCACUUCGUCGCCGAUCUUCGUGAUGGCACGUUUGCUCGUGGCGCCGACGUUCCAGCCACUGCCUGCCAUUGUGCGCGUCACUUGGCCCGCGGAAGACUCGACGCCUUCCGCGUCUUCAAACUCCAUGGCCGCCAAGUCGUUCGCGCCCUUGACAACCUUGUGAACCCAGCGCGCGUUGGCCAGCUCUGCGAGGUGGUUGUGAAACGACGUGUCCGCGUAGAGCGGGAAAGAAGGCGACGUCAAGCUCGUGUACUUGAGAUCGCCGUCGACGUAGAACUCAAUCGCGCCCGCGUCGUUCACGAUCACUUGGAAAGUCUCACCCGCGACGAAGACGCCGGCAUCGAACUUGUUCACGCCCUUCUCUUGGAAUCGGACCUGAUUGCCGUUGCAGAACACGGCGUAGUCGAUGGUCGUUUGGCUGUGGCCCGAGGGCGUGCUCGACAAGCCAAACUGCAAGUGCCUGUUGUCGGUGCGCAUGCAGUCGCCGGAAAUGCCGCGAACCUCGUCGCCGACUUUCGUGAUGGCGCGCGCGCUGUACGCACCUCUUGCCCAGUUGUUCCCGCCUUGAGUACGUUUGAGGUAGCCCUGUUUGCCGUCCGUCGUCAUGCCCUGCGAAAGUCCGACCCACUCGAUGAGAUCGAGAUCCCGUGAACCUUUAUGAACAACUUUUAUCCACUUCACAUUUUCGAGGUGUCCUCCACCUUCAUCAACGUAUCCAUCGGCAAACAAUGGGAAGAUCGGUUCUCUGCUACUAUUGUAGACAGAAUGUCCUUCUUUAUAAUAGUGAACGAUACCCUCGUCAUUAAAUGCGACCUGGAACGUUUCUCCCGCGAGGUAUGUUCCGAUCGUGGCCAUAAGCUCACCGUCUUCGUAAACUUCCAUUGUUCCGGCAUUGCAACCAACGGCAUACUCAAUAGCAUCGCCAUCCGAGGGUGUGUAAUGAGCGCUGCUCAAACCGAAUAUCAUUUUCGUUGUUGUGUCACUGCAAUCCGCAGAAAUACCGCGAACUUCGUCAUAAAUUUUAGUUACGGCGCGUUUACUUGUCGAGCGCACAAUGUCCAUUUUUUCAGGUGUAACCGGCAAGUACACGUCGCCGUGUGACACUUCACAUCGCUGGACUGUUUCAAAGUCCAUCAUGUUUAGCCAAUGCAUGUGGCUUAGCUUCGCACCUUCGGUGAAGAUUCGAGCCUGGGAGUAAAGAGGGAAUUCAACACUUUUAGUGCUGACAUGAAGAACAUUACCAUUUUGCAGAUACUCGAUGACACCAUGCUCGUUGAUGACGAUAGAAAAUGUCUCUCCAGGGCUGUACGCCGAAGGAGGCUCGACAAUGCGCUCGUGCCUUUGGAAGGCUGACGCAUUGUGUUGGUCAUUUAUGUAUUCGGGUGAAUCACUAUCCAAUGAAUCAAGUGCCAAGUCUGGCGAAGUACCAAGAUGUGUUGAAGGCGGUGGACCUUGAGCAUCGUUCUCCGGGGUCGGGACUUGAAGUUGGCCUUCAAUCCCAUGUGGUGUAUUCGGCUCGGGACGUCGAUGUGGCUCGAUUGUUUUGAUGACAACUCCAUCUUCAAGGAGACGCAACGUUCCGGCAUCACAGUAUAUCGCAAAGGACAGGUUCGUCUGCGCCGGAGCAGUAGCGGUUUCAUUCGCAGCGGUUUCAUUCAACUGAGCAUCUUGAUCACCUUGCACCAUGAGUCCAAACAUCAUCUGUGACUUGUUGUCGGAACAAUCGGCAGACACGCCUUUUUUGGUGUCAUUCCAACCGCGAAUUGAUGAACGACUCGUUGCGAAAGCAAGUAAUGAAGCUUCUUCGAUGCGUUUUGCCGCCUCUUCACUCAACACGUGAGCGAGAGAUCCAGGUGUAAGAGUCGCAUUCUCAGGUAGAAGGAACUCAACAGGCUCAAGGUCAUCGGCACCUUCAAUGAUUCGGUAAACCCAGCGCGCGUUGGCCAGCUCUGCGAGGUGGUUGUGAAACGACGUGUCGGCGUAGAGCGGGAAAGAAGGCGACGUCAAGCUCGUGUACUUGAGAUCGCCGUCGACGUAGAACUCAAUCGCGCCCGCGUCGUUCACGAUCACUUGGAAAGUCUCACCCGCGACGAAGACGCCGGCAUCGAACUUGUUCACGCCCUUCUCUUGGAAUCGGACCUGAUUGCCGUUGCAGAACACGGCGUAGUCGAUGGUCGUUUGGCUGUGGCCCGAGGGCGUGCUCGACAAGCCAAACUGCAAGUGCCUGUUGUCGGUGCGCAUGCAGUCGCCGGAAAUGCCGCGAAUCUCGUCGCCGACUUUCGUGAUGGCGCGCGCGCUGUACGCGCCUCUUGCCCAGUUGUUCCCGCCUUGAGUACGUUUGAGGUAGCCCUGUUUGCCGUCCGUCGUCAUGCCCUGCGAAAGUCCGACCCACUCGAUGAGAUCCAAGUCGUUCGCACCCUCGUGGACAGUCUGUAUCCAGGAG